rnacentral:rRNA from 1 species
UACGAAGGGGGCUAGCGUUGCUCGGAAUGACUGGGCGUAAAGGGCGCGUAGGCGGCCUGUUAAGUCGAACGUGAAAUCCCCGGGCUCAACCCGGGAACUGCGUCCGAUACUGGCAGGCUUGAAUCCGGGAGAGGGAUGUGGAAUUCCAGGUGUAGCGGUGAAAUGCGUAGAUAUCUGGAGGAACACCUAUGGCGAAAGCGGCUCACUGGGACCAACAACUGACGCUGAGGCGCGAAAGCGUGGGGAGCAAACAG